rnacentral:rRNA from 1 species
AUUGAACGCUGGCGGCAGGCCUAACACAUGCAAGUCGAGCGAGCGGCGGACGGGUGAGUAAUGUAUGGGGACUGCCCGAUAGAGCGGGAUAACUACUGGAAACGGUAGCUAAUACCGCAUACUAUCGGAUAACCCAUAUGGGAUUAGCUAGUAGGUGAGGUAAUGGCUCACCUAGGCGACGAUCCCUAGCUGGUCUGAGAGGAUGAUCAUCCACACUGGGACUGAUACACGGCCCAGACGCCUACGGAGGCAGCAGUGGGGAAUAUUGCACAAUGGUCGCAAGCCUGAUGCAGCCAUGCCGCGUGGAUGAAGAAGGCCCUAGGGUUGUAAAGUACUUUCAGUCGGGAGGCGUUACCUACAGAGGAAGCACCGGCUAACUCCGUGCCAGCUGCCGCGGUAAUUC